UACGUAGGUCCCGAGCGUUGUCCGGAUUUAUUGGGCGUAAAGCGAGCGCAGGUGGUUUAUUAAGUCUGGUGUAAAAGGCAGUGGCUCAACCAUUGUAUGCAUUGGAAACUGGUAGACUUGAGUGCAGGAGAGGAGAGUGGAAUUCCAUGUGUAGCGGUGAAAUGCGUAGAUAUAUGGAGGAACACCAGUGGCGAAAGCGGCUCUCUGGUCUGUAACUGACGCUGAGGUUCGAAAGCGUGAGGAGCAAACAGG
rnacentral:rRNA from 1 species